rnacentral:tRNA from 1 species
GCCUGUGUGGCAUAGUGGUUUGAGUGUUGGACUACAAAUCUGGAGACCAGGAUUCGAAUCCCAGCUUGGCCA